rnacentral:rRNA from 1 species
GAACGGUAACAGGAAGCAGCUUGCUGCUUUGCUGACGAGUGGCGGACGGGUGAGUAAUGUCUGGGAAACUGCCUGAUGGAGGGGGAUAACUACUGGAAACGGUAGCUAAUACCGCAUAACGUCGCAAGACCAAAGAGGGGGACCUUCGGGCCUCUUGCCAUCGGAUGUGCCCAGAUGGGAUUAGCUAGUAGGUGGGGUAAAGGCUCACCUAGGCGACGAUCCCUAGCUGGUCUGAGAGGAUGACCAGCCACACUGGAACUGAGACACGGUCCAGACUCCUACGGGAGGCAGCAGUGGGGAAUAUUGCACAAUGGGCGCAAGCCUGAUGCAGCCAUGCCGCGUGUAUGAAGAAGGCCUUCGGGUUGUAAAGUACUUUCAGCGGGGAGGAAGGGAGUAAAGUUAAUACCUUUGCUCAUUGACGUUACCCGCAGAAGAAGCACCGGCUAACUCCGUGCCAGCAGCCGCGGUAAUACGGAGGGUGCAAGCGUUAAUCGGAAUUACUGGGCGUAAAGCGCACGCAGGCGGUUUGUUAAGUCAGAUGUGAAAUCCCCGGGCUCAACCUGGGAACUGCAUCUGAUACUGGCAAGCUUGAGUCUCGUAGAGGGGGGUAAAAUUCCAGGUGUAGCGGUGAAAUGCGUAAAGAUCUGGAGGAAUACCGGUGGCGAAAGCGGCCCCCUGGAC